CACGAGCUUUUGAGAGCUCGCGCGGGAGGCCAUGAAAUGGGAACAAAGUAGAAUCUUUCGGGCUGUGUGGCCAUGUUUCAGAGGCAUUCUCUCCUGACGUUUCGCCCACAUCUAUGACAGGCAUCCUCAGAGGUUGUGAGAAGAUAAUAUCAAGAUAAAGGAAAAGUCAGUUUUGUUUUGAAAAAGAAAAAAAUUGACUCUGCGUCUCCAGCUUGCUACAAAAGCAGGCUACCUGAGCUGCAAUUAUGGAAUAAAUUAUACUACUGCUUUUAUUAUUCAACUA